rnacentral:lncRNA from 1 species
UUUGGGCAAAUCAACUGCCCAAAUCAAACUGAAGCAGAGGCGGACAGCAGCACGGGAAAUAGGCAAAUUUCAAAUUUCAAAAGCAUUGAAGUCCUAUCCUACUUCAAACACUUCAAGAUCAAUCCUAGGACAUCUCCAAGAGUCACUCCCAAGAAAGACUUUCUCAAGAAGAAGAAUUCAUUCAUAAUUAAAUACAAAAGCAAAGAAGGAAUAAAAGACUAUAAAAGACCAAGUCAAAUUAGGAUUCCAAAUCCUAAUUGGACUAGGACUCUUCAC